GGGGAAUAUUGCACAAUGGGCGAAAGCCUGAUGCAGCAAUGCCGCGUGAGCGAUGAAGGCCUUCGGGUCGUAAAGCUCUGUCCUCAAGGAAGAUAAUGACGGUACUUGAGGAGGAAGCCCCGGCUAACUACGUGCCAGCAGCCGCGGUAAUACGUAGGGGGCUAGCGUUAUCCGGAAUUACUGGGCGUAAAGGGUGCGUAGGUGGUUUCUUAAGUCAGAGGUGAAAGGCUACGGCUCAACCGUAGUAAGCCUUUGAAACUGGGAAACUUGAGUGCAGGAGAGGAGAGUGGAAUUCCUAGUGUAGCGGUGAAAUGCGUAGAUAUUAGGAGGAACACCAGUUGCGAAGGCGGCUCUCUGGACUGUAACUGACACUGAGGCACGAAAGCGUGGGGAGCAAAC
rnacentral:rRNA from 1 species